UUCAUUUUACUGUGCUUUAAUGGGUAACCUGAGAGACUUGGAAUGAAAAAAUUAGGGAAGAAACUUUCAUACAGUACUAUAUAAGAUUUGAAAAGAAUAAAGACAGAUGAAAUCUAUCAAAAUCACAUAUCGAUUUGUGUGUAUGUGUGUGUAUAACUGACAACAAAUAUGACCCUCUAUUUCUUAAGGAUGUAACAGAAUAAAUACCAUAUAAACCAACACCCACACACUAAUAUUAAGUGUUUUGGGUCUAAACACCCACUGCCUGGAUCAGACAGUCUCUUUAGGUAUAUGAGAAAGCAACAGGAAUCUUCCCACCUCCCAAAAAUCCAACAAAUGAACAAAGGAUCCUUAAAUGGCUAUGGCACUUUUUUCUUCAAAAAACAGCUACAAAAUGAUGAGAGGGUAAAGAAAAGGGUCUUUCUGCUACAGCACAAAAGUUCCUCCUAAUCAUCCCUAUGUGCCUAAGAAAUUCCUGGCAAUUGUGGGUAUGAUUUCAGUCCACCUCUUCUCAGGCUGCCGCUGUGCCCAAGCAUAACACAACUCUCUGGCAGCUGCGGGUUAAUCAUAAAGACUCCAAGGAUCCCUGCUGAGCCUGGCUAUCUGCAGGGCAGGAAGCACCAGCUCAGCAGCAGACCCCAAAGAACCACACAACUUUCUGCCUUCAUUCCUAAGAUCUCAGCAAAAGAUUUCAAGCUUGAUUUUAAAGGGACCACUGGAUGUGCUUUGGAGAACACAUGAAGAAAACCAUACUGAGGAAAAAAAUGUGAGAUGAGCUCAGGACUUUACCUACUUUAUAGUGAUCUUAACACACAAAGAAAGAAGAGCUCACCAAAGAGCUAAGACUAGGAAAAGAGUAUGAGAAAUAACUAGUUUCAGAUCCUUGGAUAAUUUUAUUCCUCUUGGGUCACAGUGAUGGGCUGAUGCUGCUUAAUCAUUUUCGGAUUUCCCCAGAGUAUGACUUCAUACUUAAGAAGGAAUUGUCAAACUGUCCUUAAACUUGGUGACUAGUGAUUUCUUUUUUCUUGCCCCCAGCUUUAUUGAGAUACAAUUGCCUAGUGGUUUCUUCAACAAUUGUAAACCAUCCUAUUUGAAUCUUUAUCCCACUAUUUCCUAUCCUCAAGGUCCACGAAGCUGAAACAAUUAGUUACUCACCCAACCUGAAAUUUAUGCCUAAGCUGAAGUUCACAGAGUUGGAAUGUUUGCUUCAAGCUAUCUCUGAGCUGUAGAGGGGGGAAGGAAAAAAAAAAAAAACCAACCUAUUUAAAAACCAUAUGCUUCACAGAAAAAAAAAAAAAA